UUUCUUCACGCUUUAGAAAAAGGUUUGAAUAUUAUGUUUGAUUUGUGAAAUGAUCUUGAAAUGAUUCACAUUAUUUUUGGAAUGUAUUUUGAAAUUGAGGAAAGUUGAAAUUGAUUUUGAAAUCGAAUGAAAUUUGAGUAUCAUUAUUUACACGUGUAAAAGUAUGGAUAUGGGUACUAAUAACCUAACUAAAUUAGUUAACACACAAAAAUCGACUAAUCGAAUAAAAAAAUAUCGGAAAUUCAACCAUUAAUUAAAUCUAAAAGGUAAACAU
rnacentral:lncRNA from 1 species